rnacentral:rRNA from 1 species
GGGUCCACCUCCCACCCGUGUCUAUCGUACCUUGUUGCUUCGGCGGGCCCGCCGUUUCGACGGCCGCCGGGGAGGCCUUGCGCCCCCGGGCCCGCGCCCGCCGAAGACCCCAACAUGAACGCUGUUCUGAAAGUAUGCAGUCUGAGUUGAUUAUCGUAAUCAGUUAAAACUUUCAACAACGGAUCUCUUGGUUCCGGCAUCGAUGAAGAACGCAGCGAAAUGCGAUAAGUAAUGUGAAUUGCAGAAUUCAGUGAAUCAUCGAGUCUUUGAACGCACAUUGCGCCCCCUGGUAUUCCGGGGGGCAUGCCUGUCCGAGCGUCAUUGCUGCCCUCAAGCACGGCUUGUGUGUUGGGCCCCCGUCCCCCUCUCCCGGGGGACGGGCCCGAAAGGCAGCGGCGGCACCGCGUCCGGUCCUCGAGCGUAUGGGGCUUUGUCACCUGCUCUGUAGGCCCGGCCGGCGCCAGCCGACACCCAACUUUAUUUUUCUAAGGUUGACCUCGGAUCAGGUAGGGAUACCCGCUGAACUUAAGCAUAUCAAUAAGUCGGAGG